rnacentral:lncRNA from 1 species
UAGCAUGAGUUAUUCAAACAAUGGCAGGGCUUGUCACCAUGAUCUCGCCCACAAUGGCUAGGCAGGCUGAAAAGGUUUUCCAAUAGGUGGGGGCAAAGCAGUAGCAGGUAUUAUACGGGGUCUCUUAUCAACACGGUCAGGGUCAGGCUAAGUUAUCUUCCUCUUGUGUUACUGUUGAACACGUAUGUUGGUAAUACACUAAUGUCGAACCGAAAUGAGUUCUUCAGCCAACUAGGCAUGCUCAAGAACUUCGACAUAGGUGUUGAGCUUCAGUAUGGCUAUGCGAUCAAAGAUAUCUAAAAUAAGACCCUUAAAGAAUUUUUUUGUCUUCCAGCUCUAAGAAGUAACCAUCAUAGGAGCAAACUAAGACAACUGAACAAACUUAGCCAAAUAUUAGUUAAUGAUCAUGUUUCCUUAAUACAGGCCUUG